AUGACACGCUGGAGCAGGUGGGUCCCGGGGGCUGCCGAGGCAGGAGGAAGAUGGCGGCGGGGGCGAGGUAUUUUCAAAAGAAAUAAUUCCAGAUUGAUGGAUGAAAUUUUAAAACAACAGCAGGAACUUUUGGGCUUAGAUUGUUCGAAAUACCCACCAGAGUUUGCAAAUAGUAAUGACAAAGAUGAUCAAGUUUUAAAUUGCCAAUCGGCAGUGAAGGUGCUCUCCCCAGAAGAUGGAAAAGCAGAUAUUGUGAGAGCUGCUCAGGACUUUUGCCAAUUAGUAGCCCAGCAGCAAAAGAGAUCCACAGAUUUGGAUAUAGACAUGUUCGACAGUUUACUUAGGUCAACUGGUUUUCCUGAUCCUGAUUUAGUAUUGAAGUUUGGUCCUGUGGACAGCACAUUAGGCUUUCUUCCCUGGCACAUCAGAUUGACUGAGAUUAUCUCUUUGCCUUCCCACCUGAACAUCAGUUAUGAGGACUUUUUCUCUGCCCUUCGUCAGUAUGCAGCCUGUGAACAGCGUCUGGGAAAGUAG